rfam:Hydatigera taeniaeformis genome assembly, scaffold: TTAC_contig0018151
AACUUUGCGCAGUGGCGGUACCGUAGCCAGUGAGGUCUAACUGAGGCGCGGUUAUUGCUAGUUGAAAACUACUCCCAAUUGCCCGCACAGACGACGUGAAACAUCGUCGGCUGGUGCAAUUUUUGGUGGGUCGCACAGCGAC